GGGGUCAAUGAAGGCAGCCAGUUUGCAAGACUUUCUGGAGGAGGAAGAACACAAUUUCUAUAGUGCAUUGUGGUAAAUAUAGGAGGGGAAGCAGUGUAAUGGGAGCUCGCAAAGAAAAUAAAUGUUUUAUGCCAGGAGGACAGAGGAAGGAUAUAAGGAGCAGACAGAACACCCAAAGGGGAAGUGAGAGUGUUUCCAAGACAGAUUUUUAGCCAUGGGAGCUUAGCGUUUGAAGCCAGGUGGAGGCCCAGCCCAUGCUUGCAUCCUUUCAGUGAUGGGGAAUAUGUAUCUAGAGAAUACAGCCCUUUGGAGAUGUCUCCACUGCCCUGGACUAAACAAAUGCUGUUUGAAUACCUAAUGAAUCCAGGUCUCACCCAAAUUGUUAAUGCUGGCAUGAGGAUUUUAGAGAGGAUGCAACCAGGAGCCACAGAACAUGCCAGGCCAUGGAACAUCCUGGACAGCUGAACACUACUUACAUUGUUGCCAUCAAUUUUCUUCAGUCAUCCAAAAU
rnacentral:lncRNA from 1 species